CCCUACCCACUCAGUAGUGCUGGGAAAUGGACCUGAGAACUGCAGGGAAAGGAGGAGGCCUAGGUUUGCUGUGCCAGAAAAAAAUGGGCAAUAAAUGAAUUAACCUUCAGAAGAGGCGCAGAAACCCAGGCAUCCAGACAAAGAGGGAAUUGAUUGUCGGGAGGUAUCUUGUGCCUGUUUCCUAAGUUUACAGUUUUGUGGUGAGCCAGCCCUCCUUGACUGCUUGUCACAUGCAGACUCGGCUUUCCUGGAAUGUCAGACAGCAGCACUCGCACCUCCGCAAUGUUGGGGCACCUGCACCAAGGAUGUGAUGAGAGGCUGCCGGAACUUGUACAUCCCACAGACAACUAUCUACUGCUGCUAUUUCACAUAGGCACCAGUGACACAGCUGUGAGCAGCCUGAACAAUAUCAAGAGGGACUACAAGGAGCUGGGAGCAGCAGAGAAGAACUCAAUGCGAUCUAUCCACCGGCUCUGAGGGAACUGGUGGAUGAAGUUGCCAAGCCUGUAUCCGUCAUAUUUGAAAGAUCUUGGCAGUCUGAUGAAGUUCCCACUGUCUGGACAAGGGAAAACAUAACCCCCAUUUUCAAGAAUAUAAAGAAGAUCCAGGGAACUACAGGACCACUCAAUCUCACCUCUGUGCGUUGCAUGAUCAUGGAGCAGAUCCUUCUGAAGGCCCUACUAAGACACAUGAAAAAAGAAGAUGAGGUGAUUGGUGAUAACCAAUGUGGCUUCACCAAGAGAAAGUCAUGCCUGACAAAUUUGGGCGACUUUUAUGAUGGAGUUACAGCAGCAAUGGAUAAAGGAAGAGCAGCUGAUGUCAUCUACCUGGAUUUGUACAAAACAUUUGACACUGUCUGGUGUGAUAUCCUGGUCUCCAAAGUGGAGAAAAAUAGAUUUGAUGAAUGGAUCACUCGCUGGAUGAAGAAUUGGCUGGGUGGUCACAUGAUAGAUUUAGACUAGAUAUUAGGAAGAAAUUCUGUGUGUCAACGGUUUGUGUCAUGAGAUACUGGAACAGAUUUCCCAGAGAAGUUGUAGAUUCUUCUACCCUGGAGGAGUUCGAGGCCAGGCUAGAUGAGGCUUUUAGCAACCUGGUCUAGUGGGAAGUGUCUCUGCUUAUAGCAGGGGGUUUGGAACUAGAGGAUCUUAAAGGUUGUUUCCAAUCCAAACCAUUCUACGAUUCUAUGAAUCUCACAGUGGUUCUCUCUCAGGAGUCCCUGCUGGUUCUAUGGACAGACAACAGUAGAAUGAGCAAAGACGAGAAGAGGAUGGAAAAAAGGGAGAAAUGUGGGUAAAUAAGAAAAAUAAAGGCCUUCUGCUUAUGCAUAUAACUGAUUAAGAUCCAACUUCCUUCUCUAAUUCCCUCAGAAGAAAGAAAGAAAAAACAAGAUUUAAAAAUGUGCAAGCAUGACUAUAACUAAGAAAAUAUCUCUAAAGCAAUGCAUGGAAAAUAAUCCAACUGGAAUCAAAAAAGUGAGCACAUAGGCUGUGGCUGAGAGACAACUCUGAGCAAACUAAGCACUGUGAUUCUGAGAUUCAAGAAAAUGCAAAAUUUAAAAGAGAGGUCUUAAAGAUAGGAAGGACACAGAAAAUGAAGACAUAGAGAUAGGAAGCAUGUAGAUAGGGCAUUUCAAGCAGAUCAUUACGUACAGGUUUGAAUCCUUUUCUCCUUUGUUUGGUUGUGCUUACUGAGCUUGUAAAAUCACACAGGUUAACAAUUUUCUAAGACUAUAGGCUUUGAGUACCUUGAGUACAGCACCUUGAAGUGCUGUAGAGCUGUGAACGAUGUUACUGGUGAGGUUCAACAGCUUCAGCAUAGGGUCAGAAGGAGCUGAAGUCAAGGAUUUCUUCAUCCUUUCUUAAGCCAGAAGAAAGCUCCUUAUCAUAUCCUGAGCUAUGCAGUAAGCAUCCUAAAAACUGGCAUGCAAUACACUAAAAGAGGGAUGAAUCUGCCACUUCUUGGCUGUGCAUCCCAGCACCAAAGGCUUGUGCCUGUGCAGGGGGGUGCAAACCCCUGUAUCAAAGCACCAACCUGUACCUUGUGCAGCCAAAAUGCUGGGGCAAGAGCUGGAGCUUUGGGCUGGGAACAUUUAUAAUGUGCUUUAAAACACAGGAAUGCUAAAUAGAAACUCUUAUCAGGCUGGAGAUGCAUCAGCUGUUAGAGGAUACAUUCCCAUGUUUCACUAGCUGCAAGACGUUAACUUUUCAAGUGUUAAAAGCAUCUCAGUGGUUCACAUGUGCUUUUCUUUUCAUUUUUUAUUUUUUUUUAACCUGGGAAAAGAUAUCCAUAAAAAAAAGGUACAAAACAAAACAAACAAACAAAAAAGAGUAAACUAGAAAGGUUCCCAUCAAGACACAUUAGAAUUCAGGCAAUUCAGUAAAAUGGCUGAGAAAGUAUUUGUCUGGGUUUUUCCGUUUUCUUUGCUUUUGUUUUUGCUUUUGGUUUUAUUUUUUUUCUUGUUUUUUUUUUUUUCCCCAAACUAGAAAGCAAAUGAGACAAGAAACAACAUUAAUCUGUGAGUAUAUCACAAAACAAAUACCUUGAGAAGGGCUAUUUAAAUUAGAAAUAGCAUUUCACCAGUAAAUAGUUACUGUAUGUAAAAUGUAUGUAAAAUAAAUACAGGCAUCUCUUCAGUGAGACUUUUUUUUUUUCUCUAUUUUAAAUAUAUGAUGAAAAGUGACAAAGAUAUUGUUUGUAUGGAAAUCAUGAUGUGCGCUGAUUAGUUAAUCAUGUAAUAAUUAGGUUAUGAAUUUCCAGUAUGCUGACAGAAAUUUAAGUGUUUCAAAAAAUAUUGCAGAGAUGUGUCUGUGAGUUUUUCCUUCAGCUUCUUCUUUCAUUUAUUUUUUCCUAUGAUAACUGAACAUAUGGAGAUUAAUUUAAGUGUGGGAGUGACAGUGUGGUUGUCUAAUUAAUUGCCCUAGAAAAUAAAAAAUGUUUCUGCCUUACUCAGAGGCCAUUUGGCUGAAGUCCUACCUUACAUUAUCAAAGUCUGGAUGUAAUAUACACCAUUUUGAUGUAAAAAAAUGAACAAAAGGCAGAAAAACUUAGUUAAGAAGCUGGCUUAGGUAUUAGGAUUUCAAGCUGUGCUGUCACAUGUGUGUUGGUCGGCUUCUAAAAAUGAUGAAUAUGAAUAGGUGCAAGUAAAAGAAGAAGUGAUUUAUAAAUAUGUGCUCAUAAGCCAAUUGGCAUGGUCAAAUAGAGGCUGGUUUUACUUCUGACCUGUAACAGAGGAAGUUUUCAGAGGAGAUAAGGUGAAGUAUGAUGUAGUCUAUUCCUCUCAUAUGCCCCAGAUAGAUAUGGGAUCUACACUUCUGAGAUCUUAAACUUUGUGCUUUUUUAACUCUUAUUUUUCCCUACUACCAAUUUCCCAAUAGCACAAACAAUCUAGCACACACUGAAAGUUAUCCUGCAGAGGUUUAUAAUGGCUAUGAAAAACAAUUUCCCAUUCAGUUCUUCAGAGGCAACAAACUUUUCUUCUGUGUUCUCCUUUUCCAAGGGACAUCACCCAAGAAAUCAGUUGUCUUGAACAGUGCAAGUCUGACAACAAAUACCCGGAGUUCAGAGGAACACAUACAAGUUCAUUAAAUAAGCAGAAAAAAAGUGUGUGAUGAAAAGGGUAAUUAUGUCGGAAGACAGCCCUGAAAACAGAUGAUGGGUGCACCAGCCUGUGAUGAACACCUACAAUUCAUUCACAUAGAGGCUCAUGCUUGAGAUCUAUUCUCCUCUGAUUUCUCCUUACUCUCAGGAGUUUAUAAAUAUCUUUCUACUGUAAUAAGCCAACAUAUACACAGUGGUAGGGAUGUGUAGAACCAAGACUGACUCUUCUUUCUUCCUCCCUCCCUCUUUCACUUCCUGAAAGGGGUAAACAAGCACAGUAGUUGAUCCUUUCCUCAUGGUUGCCAGAGGUAAAAUCUGGAAAGGCUGAACAACAAAAUAAAUUGGGCCUACCCAAUAAUUUCUAUUUUAAGAAUACUUGCUGAUUCUUGUAACCCUGCUGAAAAUGACACACACUUUGAGGCUUCAGAUCAGAUAUUCCUUGAUGUAUUUCAGGAGUGCAAUAAUGUUGAAAUAUAUUAAGAAAAAAACAUUCUUAGCCUCCUAACAGCAGAAAAUAAGUGCACAUGUUUAAAUUUUCAAGGGAACAGACUGGAGUUCUGGCAAAUGCUUUUUAAUAUUGCAAAUGGAAAACAAUGACUACACUGAGAGAGAUACAGAAACUCCCUCAUACAAUUCAAGCAAUAUAUUUCCUUUUCAUGAGUUCCUUUAGGCAAUUUGUGUCCUAAACCUGCAAAGGCAUGCAGAAGUUUAACUUAGUCUACAUACACGUUUCUACUUACAGCUUGCAAACUAAUAAAAAACUUUCAUCUGUUACAGCUAUGAGAUAUAUACUCACUGACUCCUCUCAUGUUAUUUUACUUACUUUUGUAUAACCUCAACCAUUAAAAAUAAAUUAAAAAAAAAAGUAAAAUAAAGUGGAACACAUUGAAGGAGAAAAUAGAACUGUUGUAGUACACUAUUAAAAACACCUACCCCCUCAACUACUAGCAAAAAAAAAAAAAAAAAAUGUGAGGGGAAGAUAAAAAUGAUUUGUGUUCUUACCUAUCUUGUGUUAUAUCAACAAUGAAACCCCCCACACACCAAAAGUGCAGUGGUAACGUUGUAGCUCAUUUACUGAAUCUUCUGGCAAUAGAAACUUAAGAGAUGUACGUCAUCCUGGCAUUACUUUUCUGCCAACUUAAUGUUUCAUGUAGGUUUUUUAAACUAAUUUAGAAAAAAAAAGGAAAAGAGUGGAGUCAGAAAAUAAAAUAAAGCACCUACACUGACACUAUUUGUAUUUUGACAUUAGACUUCUUAAUUACAUCUGAUUAAAUUUCUCAUGCUUUUACAUCCAUUGUUUUCCAUUGCUGGCAGUUUUCUAAAACACAUUUUUGCUUGUCUUCCUAGAACAAAUUAAAAUGGAUGGGAACAUGUUGGAGGCAAGGAGCAGCAAGGAAAGCAACAAUUAAAUGUUAAGUAACAAACUGGAUUUUCUAACAUCAACAGAAUUGACAGGCAUUUUAUUGUUGGUCUAUCAUUUUUAAAGUAUUAUUAUUUUACCUAAGUAUAAUACUGGUUUGGAGUAUUAGCUAGACGUAUAUUUAGACUAGAGAUUCCUUUUAAAGCAAGUUCUCUGUUGUUGUUUUUUUGUUGUUGUUGUUUGUUUGUUUGUUUUAGUAUUUAUUUAUACAAACACACCCUAUCUUUGAAAGGGAUCCCUGAUACUUUUUUUGAGUGCUAACUUUUCUCUGCAGGGCAUCACAUACUUCAAUAAAACCACAUAAAGUUGGGAGGCAGACAAGCAUUCAGUGAUUAGACGCAUCAGAGCUUACAUUACAGUCACUGACAUCCCAGUGUCAUUCAGAACACAGGCUGUAAAGCUGCUGGAAUUUCCACACUAACUAAUCUUAAGAAACUCCAUGCACUACGCUCAUUAUGGGACCCACACAGUUUCCUCCUAUGUCUCACUGGUCUUGCAACAAAGCUUACAAUCUCAUGGGAGUUCAGGAUAAACUGGUCGCUCAGAAGUACCACCUCACAUCUCAGUGGAACUGAAACCAGCAGCCAUGUUGUGAAAGCCUGUGAACAUCCCUUUCGUUAUAGACAGCUCUACAAGAAUCAGACAGACUUCACUUAUGUCAUUACUUAGGACUGCGACCUUUACCCUGUAAGGACUAUUCACAUCAAUUCAAGUCUCAGUGCUUUAAUUACUAAAAGCUGCUAGCAAAAGUUUAAUGAAUUAAAAAUCACUGAGAGAGGAUUGUUUUACAAGCUGACCUGCCUAAUGCUGUAUCUUUCUACUUUUGUCUCAGCACAUGCUGUCCAGAUCAGUGGCCACUUAAAAGAAAUGGCUGAGAUAGAUUGCGAGGGUUCAUAAUGUAGAUGUAGAAUGUAAUGGUAGAUUGUGAGGGUUCAUAAAAUCAUGCAGCCUGAAAGAGCAGUCCAUCUCUUUAACCUAUUGCUAACCUCCUGAGAAUUAGACAUUAAAACUUUAACUACUGACUCUUGUUCAUCCCCAGAAUUAAAAGGAAAGUAUAGGCAACUGCAGAAAUAUCCUAAACAUAGAACUUUUAAUAACAGAUGCUGCCUUUUGGAGGUUACUGCUUCUCACCAUUGACUAUAAAAGGAACCCUAGGGUUGCUAGUAUAAAUCUAGAUGUGUCCCUUUAAGACGUCUGUGAUUGAUGAACAAUUCCCACCCAAAUGUUAAGGGAAGAAAUACUACACAACAACGGUAUAAACUGUGUAAAUUCAUCACCUGGGGCAUGAGGCCCACCGGAUGUUCUUGGGUUUGGAUUGGUUUGGCAGGAAGUGUGAGGAAGCUGAUAACUUGCCAUAUAUCAGCUAAACUGAAGAAAAAGUGAAGGACAGGGUACUUAAAGGGAAAAGAGACAAAGGGAGUUGUGCAAAGUACCAAAGAGGGUGGGGAAGAGCAUGGUUCAGCACUUUAACAUGAGGUCAGGAAUGUCCCAGUGAAAGAUCUCCAGAUGAUCCCAAAUUACCUCAUAUGUUUUGGAAACUGCACUAUGUGAUUGAGUCCUUGAUUGGUUCACCUCUGCAUUUUCCCCUACGUACAGUAAACAAGCAUGAACACUAACACUUCAAUCAUCCCCAUCCCCUCUACUAAGUCUUAGACCAGAAGAGAUGCUGGAGAGAGAUGGCUCCAUUCAUGUGCUCUGGUUCCAUAAGAAGUGCUUCUGCAGUUACCUGUGGAGCAAGUACUCCUGCAGACACUCAAUAAUUACGAGUUCAUUCAUAAUAUUGUCUUCAACUUAUAUAGCUGAAACAUGCACAAAUGUACUGGGAUGGUUGUUUCCAGAUGGUAUGGACUGAUGGAUUAUUGCUAACCCUUAAGAAUUUUAAAGACCAUACAUAUGACAUAAAGGAUACCUCAUACAUUUACUGCUAAAUAGAGUUUGAGAGAUUAGCCUUGGGCCCUUUGUGGUAUCCUGGUGGUCUACUCUCUGCAUGGCUCACAGUCCAAUAGUCAGUACUAAGGCUUGGGGUCUUGAACAUGAAAGGUGCCAUGACCACAGUGCAAGGGACUUAGUUGUGGUUAACAUCAAGCUGAGUUGUUUUAAAAAAAGAUAAACAAGAAUUUUUUUCUGGAGAUUAAUUUUUGAAUCCCUUUUGGGUAUCCAAAGAAUUUUUCAGUAACCUAAGCGUGUCAGCUUUAGAAAGUGCUAAGAAUGUACAACUUUUACAGAAUCUAGACUGAACUGAAAAGAACAAAAAUUUUGGACUGCCAACAUGUACUAAAGAUCCUUUGUAUCUUUCAAUCCACCCCUGCCUUAAACCAAAUUGCUUUACUGCUGCAUAACACAUUGCAGCCUGAAAGCAACCUACAGUAAGCCUACUACAAGAUGUGUCCAUAACACAAUACAUUUAAACUCUGGUGGUUCACAACAGGGCUGCCAUGUUAUCUAAUUGACAAAAGGAAACUUAGACAGAGGAAAAUCCUAUCAAUUUGUUUCUACUAAUCCAAAACAGAAAUAUAGCUGUUGUCACAAGCACUUGUUUAAUUUUCUUCUUGUUUAUAAGCUAAUAAGUAACACUAAAUUAUUUGCGAAAGUUUGUUCCCACUUCACUUUGCAUUCAUAGCUGCAGUAUUAUCUGAUAAUUAAAGGCAAUGCCCUAGUUAAGACUUUACUAUUUUUAUUACCUAUAAUCUAAUUCUCUGAGGAUACUUAGACUUAGACAUACACUAAUGCAAACAUUUUAUGUAACACUUUUAAUAUUAUUUAUGGUACUAUAUAAUCUGAAAACACAAUUAUUCUUGAACAAGGCUUAUAAGGAUAAAUCCAGUUUUAAACUAUGAAUGUAAGGUAGGUCCUUAUUACUGUUUAAAAAAUGUAGUUUUAGGUUGGUUGGAGAUUUUUGUUAAUAUCUUAAGAACAGGUAAGGUGAUUCAGAGCAGAAUCUGUCAACAAAGGAAGCAAAUAAUUGAUUCAAGUAUGUUCCGAUCGUUGUUUCCCACUUGAGUGAUUAAUUCUUGAUUAAGGUAGUGGUAAUAAGGCGGUGCAUUUUUCUGAUACUCUUCCUUGAAGGAAAUUCAGAGUGGUAGCUAUUAGCUCUAAUGACUCUUAAAUGUUUCAAAACCAUCUUGAACAAUCGCCAAGAGGCAGAAAUAAGAAUGUUUGCUGAAGGAACCCAAGGCUUAACUGAAUUAUCUGUUGUCUUAUCCAAAGGACUUUGAAGUAGCAUUACUAAGGGACAAUUUUUUUGUUCUACUCAAGACAGUUACCCAGCACUGAUGAGAGAGAGGAGGGGUGAUAUUUACUCUUCCUAAAACUAAUUUCUGUGAGUCAGGAGCGUGACUCAGGCUGGUCAGUGAUGUUGAUGUUAGCCUUGGAGAGAGACAGCUUGGUUAACCGUGUUGCUUCUUAUCUUUGGGGGUAGAAGGAAAAAAAAAAUAAACAAAAUACUUGUAAUCUGAUCACAGAGCAGCGUAUAACAACACUGCAAUUUAUGAACCAGAUAUUCAGUCAGCAUGAAUUGGAACAGACCCACAAAAUGAGUGAACUCAAUGGAGCCUCACAAACAUCGGCUGACCAUAUGCUCUUAAAGAUAAGAACACGGCUUACAAACCAACACACCUUAAAACGUCUGCAACAGGGAAAAAAAAAAAAAAAAAAAAAAAAAAAAAAAAGGAAAAAGAAAUAGAUUACCUCGUUGUGGCAUCAUACAUACCAUGAGACCUACAAAAGCUCUCUUGCACCUUCCUAACUACAAUGUAUACUCCCACAGUUUGAGUCCUGGUGCCUGGCAGGUGAGCUGCCUGACAAAUCCUAAUCCAUACUAAGGGACAGACCGAUAGCAGGCCCAGAUGAGCUACAGCAACGUGAUUUUUAACAAAUCCUCCUCUUCAACUGGCCCAAAAUGUUUCCAGGGCCACCAUGCCUGGGUCUUUUUCCACCUUUUAGGAAUUCAAGGGAUUUUGCCAAGGGGAAGAAAGUAAAGAGGAUUGCUCCAAACUGGGGAAGUGCUACAUAGGAAAUGUCCUUGCAAUAGAGUAGCUGCGUGCUCACUGAAUACAUUUUUGAGCUCUGCUAGCAGAUAAUUUGCAGAGUAAUAGCACACAUGCAUUCAAGAGGCAGCCAUGAUCAUAUUGUCUUAUCACAUCCAUACCCUUCCCCCCCCCUUUUUUUAUGCUUUAUGAAAAGCUUCCCAAACAAUUUAUUGUCUUUAUAGCAGUUAUAAGGUUAUUCCACCCUGCUCUAUUUUUUUUUUCUUCUCUCCCAUGCCUGAUCCAAGUCCUUCAGUGGGUCAGACUCCCUCUCAAUUGUAGGAUUUUAUACUUCAUGGCAUUUUUUUUUUCUUUGCAUGUAGCUGCUGCACCUUUGACUGUGUUUUCUCUGGUGUGGGGCUGUGAUGCUGUUCUGUUGUGGCAGCGCCUGGAAAGAACAUGUAAAUGUACAAAGCCCAGUUUAUACUUUCUGAUAUAUUUCAGAUAGAGCAUACAUGAAGAAGACGUUUGUGCAAUAGCUGUUCUUUUUCACAUUCCUUUGUUUACUUCCGUGUUAUCUUUCACCCUCCUGAUAACGCACUAGAAGAACAUAAGAGGAAAAUAAUUAAAUCCAGAACGUUGUGAUGGAAAUGGAGAAGAGCACAAAGCUUCAAGUACUUCGACUUAUCAGAUGCAUUCACAACAGGAAACAACAGGAAACGCAUGAUGCAGGAUACCGAGUUCCUGAAUAGUCAAGAGAAAGAAUUUGGAGCUGAUAAGAAUGCUAACGGGGGUAGAUAGAUAGGCCUCUUAGAUAGGCCUCAUUCCUAAGGGAGGGGCAAUGGCGAUUUGGAGACGAAUGGGCUGAUUUCGUUUUGUUUCACGCGGUGAUUGCUAGGCUAUAUGAGCUGACAAUAGAGCAAUUUGGCCAUGGUGACACCUACAAGAUGAAAGAAAGGGGAAUUGCUCGUAAUCAAGUUGUUGGUUAACCUCAUAGCAAAAGGAAACAGGAUCCGUAGGGAUGCGGAGUGCCGGGAGGAUGAUGAGAAGCGGCCUCCACGGCACCGCGGGGGUGGCAGAGGGCCCAAGGGCAGGGUCCUGGUCUGGGGUGGUCUGCGAAGGCUGACUGUGAUAAACCUCGCUGGUGCUUGGGCUCUGGGGAGUUCUUUGAACAUUGGUUUCUUCAUGCUUGCACGUAAAACGUCUCCUAACCACUCCAUGCCCCGUGGAUUCAUCAAAGAAACAAAAGAUGAAAAAAGUAAAUAAAUAAAUAAAUAAAUAAUAAAAAAUAAAAAUUAAAAACCACCGAUUUCACUCAUUCCUGCAUUGGCCCAGUUUGAAGAGGAUCAGCUGUAGCAGAGCGGUGUGGAGAUACGUUUCAAAACCCAAUUCAGUAUAGAAGCACACACAAAGUAGGAGAGGUCUGUGUGCUUUGUAACUAUCCUCUCUCUUGGGUCAAGCCCACCCUGCCUCUGUGCCCAAAACCAAGGUUACGAGGUAGCCAUUCAGCCAGGUGCAAGCACUUACACCCUGGUUGCCUCGCUCAAUUUUUACCAAGGGCUAUAAUGAUCCAAGCAUGCUCUUUAUGGUAAAAGUCUCAUGCUAAGUAGAUCAGAUUCAGGCAACCCACUUAAAUUCUCCGUGACACAUUUUCUGCCUCUGUAAAAAUGUAUGAUAUCAUUGGAGGGCUGGUCACAGAAUGAGCUGAUCUACUGUCAUGCAUGUGUCAAGCCUGGCCUUUCCAAAUUGUCUGCAAACCACACUGAAUUUUCCUGAAAUGGCAAUGUUUCCUCAAAAGUUACAUGAAAUAUUUCCAGAAAUAUUCCUUUGUGCAUCUCGUUUUUUUGCUUCCUUUAUAAGGCUGCUGACCUAAAUUACACGGAAUGCUUUCUGCUACUCAGUUAUAGGCCCUAACCUUUAGAGGAAAGGAGG
ensembl:lncRNA